UACGUAGGGGGCAAGCGUUGUCCGGAUUUAUUGGGCGUAAAGAGCGUGUAGGCGGCCAGACAGGUCAGCUGUGAAAACUCGAGGCUCAACCUCGAGACGUCGGUUGAAACCGUCUGGCUAGAGUCCGGAAGAGGAGAGUGGAAUUCCUGGUGUAGCGGUGAAAUGCGCAGAUAUCAGGAAGAACACCCGUGGCGAAGGCGGCUCUCUGGAACGCAACUGACGCUGAGACGCGAAAGCGUGGGGAGCAAACAGG
rnacentral:rRNA from 1 species